rnacentral:rRNA from 1 species
GAUGAACCACCUUCGGGUGGGGAUUAGUGGCGAACGGGUGAGUAACACGUGGGCAAUCUGCCCUGCACUCUGGGACAAGCCCUGGAAACGGGGUCUAAUACCGGAUACUGACCCUCGCAGGCAUCUGCGAGGUUCGAAAGCUCCGGCGGUGCAGGAUGAGCCCGCGGCCUAUCAGCUAGUUGGUGAGGUAAUGGCUCACCAAGGCGACGACGGGUAGCCGGCCUGAGAGGGCGACCGGCCACACUGGGACUGAGACACGGCCCAGACUCCUACGGGAGGCAGCAGUGGGGAAUAUUGCACAAUGGGCGAAAGCCUGAUGCAGCGACGCCGCGUGAGGGAUGACGGCCUUCGGGUUGUAAACCUCUUUCAGCAGGGAAGAAGCGAAAGUGACGGUACCUGCAGAAGAAGCGCCGGCUAACUACGUGCCAGCAGCCGCGGUAAUACGUAGGGCGCAAGCGUUGUCCGGAAUUAUUGGGCGUAAAGAGCUCGUAGGCGGCUUGUCACGUCGGUUGUGAAAGCCCGGGGCUUAACCCCGGGUCUGCAGUCGAUACGGGCAGGCUAGAGUUCGGUAGGGGAGAUCGGAAUUCCUGGUGUAGCGGUGAAAUGCGCAGAUAUCAGGAGGAACACCGGUGGCGAAGGCGGAUCUCUGGGCCGAUACUGACGCUGAGGAGCGAAAGCGUGGGGAGCGAACAGGAUUAGAUACCCUGGUAGUCCACGCCGUAAACGGUGGGCACUAGGUGUGGGCAACAUUCCACGUUGUCCGUGCCGCAGCUAACGCAUUAAGUGCCCCGCCUGGGGAGUACGGCCGCAAGGCUAAAACUCAAAGGAAUUGACGGGGCCCGCACAAGCGGCGGAGCAUGUGGCUUAAUUCGACGCAACGCGAGACCUUACCAAGGCUUGACAUACACCGGAAAACCCUGGAGACAGGGUCCCCCUUGUGGUCGGUGUACAGGUGGUGCAUGGCUGUCGUCAGCUCGUGUCGUGAGAUGUUGGGUUAAGUCCCGCAACGAGCGCAACCCUUGUCCCGUGUUGCCAGCAGGCCCUUGUGGUGCUGGGGACUCACGGGAGACCGCCGGGGUCAACUCGGAGGAAGGUGGGGACGACGUCAAGUCAUCAUGCCCCUUAUGUCUUGGGCUGCACACGUGCUACAAUGGCCGGUACAAUGAGCUGCGAUACCGCGAGGUGGAGCGAAUCUCAAAAAGCCGGUCUCAGUUCGGAUUGGGGUCUGCAACUCGACCCCAUGAAGUCGGAGUCGCUAGUAAUCGCAGAUCAGCAUUGCUGCGGUGAAUACGUUCCCGGGCCUUGUACACACCGCCCGUCACGUCACGAAAGUCGGUAACACCCGAAGCCGGUGGCCCAACCCCUUGUGGGAGGGAGCUGUCGAAGGUGGGACUGGCG